rnacentral:lncRNA from 1 species
GUUUAGGUGAUAAUAACAGGCAGUUAUAGUUUACUUGGGUGGAGGGGCCUUUUAAAUAAUCCUAGUUUGCCCUCAUUCCUGGCUCUCAUAUUCACUUGGGGAAGUGAUAAGAAGAAACAGAUCCCUUUUUCUUUCUUAAAAACAAGGAAACAAAACUCUCUUCCCAAUCCCAUUAUCUUAUCAAAGACCCCUCCUGCAUCUGUUCCUCUGCCUUUCACAUUUCGUCACAAAAAUCAGACGGUACUUCAGCAAUGUUAUCUCUUAGAGUUUCUAGUUCUUAAAGACCCCCAAAUCCCACUCUAAAUCCUAAUCCUGAAAAGGAAUCAUUUCCACAGAUUGCAAAAAGAAUUGGAGAGGCCCGUGGGAAAACAUGAAACCAUAAAAAGUGAACUUAACCAGGAAUAAGACAAGGAAGUCUGGAUUUGCGAGAACUUUAUGAAUUAAGGAAUCCAAUCUAGAGCCACUGAUCUCCUGUAUUCUUUACAUUUGGAGGAAUCAACCAUGAAGGAGUUGGCCACGGUGUCAGCAUGUGAAGGCAGAGGAACUCCAGCUCAGAGAGAGGCUUCCCUGGAUCCACUUGCCUCAACGACCCUCUGAUGGAAUCCAGGGGAGAUCAAACAAUGGAUGUGAUCAAGAAACAAACAAAUGGAGAAUGAAGAAAGAGCAAAGAGACAAGAAUAACAAAGAUACAGCAUAAGAAUAUGAAUUGAGCUGUUUUUUCUAAUGUACUUUGGACAUAUAAGAGGCAUCUUCAUCUCAGAAAUUGACCUUGGACUUAUCUAGCAUAUUAUUCUUUUGUUGAACAACGUUAAACAUCUGCUUACCAAAUAUUUGCUGCCAUUCUAAAAACUUCUAAGCACUGUGCUCAAUAGAAAACUGAAGUAUUUCACAAAAUCUAUUCUCAUAGUAGCUUUUUAAAAAAGAUAUUUCUGAUUACAUGUUCCACUUGUGCACCUGAGCACCUAGAGAAAGGAGACCUUGGGAGGACUAUUUCUAACCAGCAACUGAAAACAUCAACAUUCUUAUUCCCAUAACCACACUUACUUCAGUAUAAUAGGUGAUUUCACCUUUCUUAGAAGAUUGAGUUUAUUGACUUGCCCAAAUAAUGUAAUAAUGGGGUAAGUGUGUGUAUUAGUCCAUUUUCAUGCUGCUAUGAAGACAUACCUGAGACUGGGUAAUUUAUAAAGAAAAGAGGUUUAAUUGGUUCACAGUUCUGCAUGGCUAGGAAUCCUCAGGAAACUUAUAAUCAUGGUGGAAGAUGAAACAGGCACAUCUUACAUGGUGACAGGCCUUACUCAGAAAGCACCCUGCGCUGGCAUUUCAUAAGUAAACAGAAGAAAUGUCCUACUUGCAAAACUCUGAAUAUAGCUGAAUCCCUCAAGGGCAUAGAGGUUUAAGCAUACAGAAGUCAAAGGCAACCUUUUUGUUCUGUGAAGGUGCUGCCAUUAGGCAGCUGAGGACCAGCUGUGGGACCAACAGUCUUGGGUUGGAGCCUUUUUGAGAUAAAGGAAAGACAAUACCUUGGACUUAAAUAAGCAAUUCUGCUUUCCAAGUGUUGGUAGGCAGAACAAUGAUCCCCCCAGAAUAUUCACAUUUUGACUCCUGGACUUGUGAAAAUGUUAUGUUAAAUGGCCAAUGGAAGAAAAGUUACAUAUGAAAUUAAGGUUCCUAAUUAACUGACUUUAAGGUAAGAAUAUUAUGCCUGAUUUACCUGUGGGCCCAAUGUAACUGCAAGGGCCCUUAAACAAGGAAGAGGGAAGCAGAAGUGCCAGAACCAGAGGGAUAGCAUCAUGAGAAGGAUUUAACUGGCCAUUGCUGGCUUUGAAGAUGUAAGAGGGUCAAGAGACAAGAAAUGUGAGUGACCUCUAGAAGCUGGAAAAGGCAAGUAAAUGGAUUCUCUCCGAGUGUCUGCAGAAAGAAAAGCAGCCUUUUCAUCAACUUGAUUGUCACUCUGUGAGACUGAUUUUGGACUUCUGACUUCCAGGACCCUAAGAUAACAAAUUUGUGUUGUUUUUAGAACAAAGUUCCUGGUAAUUUGUUACAUCAAUAAUAAGAAAUGGACACAUCAAGAAAAUUUAAAAAGGAGAAAAGAACAAAUAAAAAGAGUAACAUAAAGACUAGAUGAGCACAGGGAACUCGCAUGUGUGCACAUUCCACAAAAGAAGCUAUAACGUGAUUACAGAAAGGAAGUCAUAAUAAACAAAUAAAUGUAUAUUGGAAAUAUGGAAAGGAAUACAGAGAACAAUGCAAUAUAAGGACAGACAAAGGCAUCCAGCUAUGAUUUUUCUCUCUUUAGCAGUUUGAAAGACAGAAAAUAUUCUUUUCUUUUUUUCGGUUCUGCAGUUCUGAAUUUUGAAAACUUUGCAAAAAAUUAAGCAUUCAAUUCAAAUGCCAAAUAAGAAAACUUUUAGUGCAAAUUCAAAGAAAAAUAAAAAUAGGUAUCUCAUAGUUUCAACAUAUGUUCAAAUCUUUCAAAUUUGAGCGAGAUAGGCAAGGUGCUUUAGGUUCCUUCGCUUCUCUCACUUCAAGCUAUUUGUUAGUUAGAAUGUUUGAUUUUCUGAUCCUCUGCCCAGAAAAAUGUAUUGCCAGUGGAAAGUAUUGUCAAUAAACAACCAUAGAAUUCUGCUUUAAAUCGUUCUGAUGCUUAUAAGAAAAGACACGAAUUCAUUUUGCAGACAUGCUUUUUCUGUUCACAAUUGCAAUUGAAAAUUGCAGUGAGCUACUUAAAAGCAGAACCGUUGAAUGGAACUUGUCUUAUAACAGAACCAGUUUUAAAUGGACAAUUGUAUACCUUAGAGCUGUCACCAGCCUUUAGCCUUGUACACAGCAUACAUGUAAUCAGUUGCCAUCAUACAUUGAAGAUAGUUAAGAAUAGAGUUACUGAGCAUCUAUUGUCAUCACAAAAAUGUGAAAGCUACUAAGGCAAAUAUGUGAAUAUAAACACAAUCCCUGGCCUCAAGGUAUUUAAAGUAAAAUUGUUCUAACUACAAUAAAAUUCAG